AGAGUUUGAUCAUGGCUCAGGAUGAACGCUAGCUACAGGCUUAACACAUGCAAGUCGAGGGGAAACGACAUCGAAAGCUUGCUUUUGAUGGGCGUCGACCGGCGCACGGGUGAGUAACGCGUAUCCAACCUGCCCACCACUUGGGGAUAACCUUGCGAAAGUAAGACUAAUACCCAAUGACGUCUCUAGAAGACAUCUGAAAGGGAUUAAAGAUUUAUCGGUGAUGGAUGGGGAUGCGUCUGAUUAGCUUGUUGGCGGGGUAACGCCACCAAGGCUACGAUCAGUAGGGGUUCUGAGAGGAACGGUCCCCACAUUGGAACUGAGACACGGUCCAAACUCCUACGAGAGGCA
rnacentral:rRNA from 1 species